rnacentral:rRNA from 1 species
GACGAACGCUGGCGGCGUGCCUAAUACAUGCAAGUAGAACGCAGUUGCGAACGGGUGAGUAACGCGUAGGUAACUGCCUCAUAGCGGGGGAUAACUAUUGGAAACGAUAGCUAAUACCGCAUACUGUGUGAUGGACCUGCGUUGGAUUAGUUAGUUGGUGAGGUAAAGGCUCACCAAGUCCACGAUACAUAGCCGACCUGAGAGGAUGAUCGGCCACACUGGGACUGAGACACGGCCCAGACUCCUACGGGAUGCAGCAGUUGGGAAUAGUGCACAAUGGGCGCAAGCCUGAUGCAGCCAUGCCGCGUGUAUGAAGAAGGCCUUCGGGUUGUAAAGUACGUGCAGCGAGGAGCGUUACUCGCAGAAGAAGCACCGGCGAACUCCGUGCCAGCCGCCGCGGUAAUUC